UGAUAGCGGACGUUACAGCU
rnacentral:miRNA from 1 species